UGAGGAAUAUUGGUCAAUGGGCGAGAGCCUGAACCAGCCAAGUAGCGUGCAGGAUGACGGCCCUAUGGGUUGUACACUGCUUUUAUAUGGGAAUAAAGUGAGGGACGUGUCCCUUAUUGCAUGUACCAUACGAAUAAGGACCGGCUAAUUCCGUGCCAGCAGCCGCGGUAAUACGGUAGGUCCACGCGUUAUCCGGAUUUAUUGGGUUUCAAGGGAGCGUAGGCUGUUUGUUAAGCGUGUUGUGAAAUGUAGGAGCUCAACUUUUAGAUUGCAGCGCGAACUGGCAGAAGUGAGUGCGAACAAAGUAGGCGGAAUUCAUGGUGUAGCGAGGAAAUGCUUAGAUAUCAUGACGAACUCCGAUUGCGAAGGCAGCUUACGGGAGCGCAACUGACGCUAAAGCUCGAAGGUGCGGGUAUCGAACAGG
rnacentral:rRNA from 1 species